UUUUAUUUUGAUGGUAACAGGACGCAAACACUGUACUCUCCAGUGCGUCAAACACUAAGCCACGCCUGGUUUUAGAGGGUGAAAUAAUUUUUCACCGACUGUUUAUGCAGAUGUGCCGAUUUUUUAUUUUAAUCUUUUACGGUCCUUCAUUAACUUAUAGUACAUUGUCAUAGCUGGAGCAGAGAUCGUAAUUUGACCCGUUAUUACAUUGUCGCUAGCACUUGUAAGACUGAACACAACGAAACUAUCUUAUGUAGCACCCAAUGGCUCGGGCGUGAAAAGAGACUCCGAGACCUGGACUUGAACCGAGGAUCUCUAACUAACAGGACCAGUGCUGUACCACUGAGAUAUCUGAAAAAGCAAACUAAAAUGGUUCAAAACAGUAGAUGCCUCCAAACAGGCCAGCCACCAUGUCAUCAAUACAGUGAAAGAUCUCUAAACAUGC